rnacentral:rRNA from 1 species
GAUGAACGCUGGCGGCGUGCCUAAUACAUGCAAGUCGAGCGAACGGACGAGAAGCUUGCUUUUCUGAUGUUAGCGGCGGACGGGUGAGUAACAAGUGGAUAACCUACUUAUAAGACUGGGAUAACUUCGGGAAACCGGAGCUAAUACCGGAUAAUAUUUUGAACGGCAUGGUUCAAAAGUGAAAGACGGUCUUGCUGUCACUUAUAGAUGGAUCCGCGCUGCAUUAGCUAGUUGGUAAGGUAACGGCUUACCAAGGCAACGAUGCAUAGCCGACCUGAGAGGGUGAUCGGCCACACUGGAACUGAGACACGGUCCAGACUCCUACGGGAGGCAGCAGUAGGGAAUCUUCCGCAAUGGGCGAAAGCCUGACCGAGCCACGCCGCGUGAGUGAUGAAGGUCUUCGGAUCGUAAAACUCUGUUAUUAGGGAAGAACAUAUGUGUAAGUAACUGUGCACAUCUUGACGGUACCUAAUCAGAAAGCCACGGCUAACUACGUG